rnacentral:lncRNA from 1 species
CCUUUUGACCCUGAAAUAGAGCGUUCUAUUAGGACCCUUCGAGCCGAAAUCCGGACCUAUAGAACCAUAGGAUCUACACCACUUGUCGAGAUGGCUGAAGAGCAACCCAAACUGUUAAAGGAGUACUUCACUCCUUUCAUUUAUACCUCUCCAUCUUGUAUCCGACUACCUGAUACCACUGCUGCUAUGCAAUUUGAAAUUAAGUCUAGUGUCAUCCAAAUGCUUCCCUUUU